UACGUAGGGGCCUAGCGUUGUCCGGAAUUAUUGGGCGUAAAGGGCUCGUAGGCGGUUUGUCGCGUCGGGAGUGAAAACACUGGGCUUAACUCAGUGCUUGCUUCCGAUACGGGCAGACUAGAGGUAUGCAGGGGAGAACGGAAUUCCUGGUGUAGCGGUGAAAUGCGCAGAUAUCAGGAGGAACACCGGUGGCGAAGGCGGUUCUCUGGGCAUUACCUGACGCUGAGGAGCGAAAGUGUGGGGAGCGAACAGG
rnacentral:rRNA from 1 species